rnacentral:rRNA from 1 species
GAAUUUUGGACAAUGGGCGAAAGCCUGAUCCAGCAAUGCCGCGUGCAGGAUGAAGGCCGUCGGGUUGUAAACGGCUUUUGUGAGGAACGAAAAGCUUUGGGUUAAGAACCUGGAGGCAUGACGGUAACGUAAGAAAAAGCACCGACUAACGACGUGCCAGCAGCCGCGGUAAUACGUAGGGUGAAGGCGUUAAUCGGCAUUCCCUGGCGUAAAGCGUGCGCAGGCGGUUUUGUAAGACAGAGGUGAAAUCCCCGGGCUCAACCUGGGAACUGCCUUUGUGACUGCAAGGCUAGAGUACGGCAGAGGGGGGCGGAAUUCCGCGUGUAGCAGUGAAAUGCGUAGAUAUGCGGAGGAACACCGAUGGCGAAGGCAACCCCCUGGGCCUGUACUGACGCUCAUGCACGAAAGCGUGGGGAGCAAACAGG